UACGUAGGGUGCGAGCGUUAGUCGGAAUUACUGGGCGUAAAGCGUGCGCAGGCGGUGAUGUAAGACAGAUGUGAAAUCCCCGGGCUCAACCUGGGAACUGCAUUUGUGACUGCAUCGCUGGAGUGCGGCAGAGGGGGAUGGAAUUCCGCGUGUAGCAGUGAAAUGCGUAGAGAUGUGGAGGAACACCGAUGGCGAAGGCAGCCCCCUGGGCCAAUACUGACGCUCAUGCACGAAAGCGUGGGGUAGCAAACAGGAUUAGAUACCCUGUAGU
rnacentral:rRNA from 1 species